GCUGGAAGAGGCAAAGGAUUUGCUUUCUGACUGGCUGGAUUCCACACUUGGCAGUGAGGUGACAGACAAUUCUAUUUUCUCCAAGCUGCCCAGGUUCUGGGAAGGGGAAUUCCACAAAGACAUGGAAGCUCUGAAUGUUCUCCCUCCGGAUGUCUUAACGCGUGUUAGUGAGUACGUGCCAGAAAUCAUAAACUUUGUCCAGAAGAUUGUGGACAACGGUUACGGCUAUACUUCAAAUGGGUCUGUCUACUUUGAUACAGUGAAGUUUGCAUCUAGUGAGAAACACUCCUAUGGGAAGCUGGUGCCCGAAGCUAUUGGGGAUCAGAGAGCUCUUCAAGAAGG